rnacentral:rRNA from 1 species
AACGUAGGAGGCAAGCGUUAUUCGGAUUUACUGGGCGUAAAGCGCGUGCAGGCGGUUCUGCAAGUCGGACGUGAAAUCUCUCGGCUUAACUGGGAGGCGUCGUUCGAAACUGCGGGGCUUGAGGUUGGGAGAGGAGAGUGGAAUUCCCGGUGUAGUGGUGGAAUGCGUAGAUAUCGGGAGGAACACCAGUGGCGAAAGCGGCUCUCUGGCCCACACCUGACGCUGAGACGCGAAAGCGUGGGGAGCGAACAGG